rnacentral:rRNA from 1 species
CGGUAAUACGAAGGUCCCGAGCGUUGUUCGGAAUCACUGGGCGUAAAGGGAGCGUAGGCGGCGUGGUAAGUCAGACGUGAAAUCCCGGGGCUCAACCCCGGAACUGCGUCCGAUACUGCCGUGCUAGAGGAUUGGAGAGGUAGCUGGAAUUCACGGUGUAGCAGUGAAAUGCGUGGAUAUCGUGAGGAACACUCGUGGCGAAAGCGAGCUACUGGACAACUCCUGACGCUGAGGCUCGAAGGCCAGGGUAGCGAAAGGGAUUAGAUACCCCUGUAGUCCUGGCAGUAAACGGUGUGCGCUUGGUGUGGCGGGAAUCGACCCCUGCCGUGCCGGAGCUAACGCGUUAAGCGCACCGCCUGGGAAGUACGGUCGCAAGACUAAA